GGAUUACUGACAGUCGGCGCCAGAUCGAAUUGUUCUGUUAAAAUUUGUGUUGGAGCAACGCUGGCCUUUGGAGGAGGCAAACCGGAGGAGAUUCACCUCAGCCUGCAAGUCAGGACUGCAACUGUUUUGACACCAUGACGUAACCAGUGUAAGACUCUUUUUAUCAGGGAGGCAAACCGAUUGGGCACUCUCAUUCCGAUUACAAUGCCAGCACUUUUACCAUACCAUCCCAAUUCACCAUUAAUAGAUGUGAUUCGGAACAGGGAAGGUCACCCAAUUCUACAAUUCAGACCAGUGGAAAAAUGAUAAUUGGUUUUAAACAGAAUUUCAGUAGCUGAUAAGCCACCCAAUAGCACAUACCAAAGGAACAGACAGAAUCAUCUGAACACUCAUGUCUAUCAAACUCCAUAAACAGGUAUUUCUCUAUGUUUUAAUGAGGUCUAUGUUUCUAAUGCAUUUAUAGUAGCAAUAAAACCUCCUGUACAAUGUGUUCAUUGUAAUUAAUGUGA